UUGAUCCUGGCUCAGAAUCAACGCUGGCGGCGUGCCUAACACAUGCAAGUCGAACGAGAAAGUGGAGCAAUCCAUGAGUACAGUGGCGAACGGGUGAGUUACACGUGACUAACCUGCCUUCGAGUGGGGGAUAACCUCGGGAAACCGGGUCUAAUACCGCAUAACAUCCUCAGGGUGCAAUUCCCAGGGGACCAAAGGGUUAAGACGCUUGAAGAGGGGGUCGCGGCUGAUUAGCUAGUUGGUGAGGUAUUGGCUCACCAAGGCGAAGAUCGGUAGCCGGCCUGAGAGGGCGCACGGCCUCACUGGAACUGAAACACGGUCCAGACUCCUACGGGAGGCAGCAGUGGGGUAUUUUGCGCAAUGGGGGAAACCCUGACGCAGCAACGCCGCGUGGAGGAUUAAGCCCCUUGGGGCGUAAACUCCUUUCGAUCGGGACGAUUAUGACGGUAUCGGAUGAAGAAGCACCGGCUAACUCUGUGCCAGCAGCCGCGGUAAUAAGUU
rnacentral:rRNA from 1 species